rnacentral:rRNA from 1 species
GAUGAACGCUGGCGGCGUGCCUAAUACAUGCAAGUCGAGCGAACGGACGAGAAGCUUGCUUCUCUGAUGUUAGCGGCGGACGGGUGAGUAACACGUGGAUAACCUACCUAUAAGACUGGGAUAACUUCGGGAAACCGGAGCUAAUACCGGAUGAUAUUUUGAACCGCAUGGUUCAAAAGUGAAAGACGGUCUUGCUGUCACUUAUAGAUGGAUCCGCGCUGCAUUAGCUAGUUGGUAAGGUAACGGCUUACCAAGGCAACGAUGCAUAGCCGACCUGAGAGGGUGAUCGGCCACACUGGAACUGAGACAAGGUCCAGACUCCUACGGGAGGCAGCAGUAGGGAAUCUUCCGCAAUGGGCGAAAGCCUGACGGAGCAACGCCGCGUGAGUGAUGAAGGUCUUCGGAUCGUAAAACUCUGUUAUUAGGGAAGAACAUAUGUGUAAGUAACUGUGCACAUCUUGACGGUACCUAAUCAGAAAGCCACGGCUAACUACGU